AAGAAUUAAAUGGAUGAAAUAUGAAGUUUUAUUAAAAGAAAAUGGGGUGAAAAGAACAAAGUUUUGUCCAUCUUUGUUCAUCAUAGCUAAAAGUUAGAGAAGAGAAAGGAGAGGAGAAAGCUCUUGAGUAUUUGGUCAUUAGGAGGAGGAAAAUUGAAGGAAAUCCCCAACCAUAGUGGGCUUGGAGCUGUGAGGGAAUUCGGAGUGGCCACCCGUUCUAAAAGUUUUAUUUUCUUCUGGUGAACUAGACAUCUUUUUAAUUACGUUUGAGGUUUUGGGCUUUUAAAUGUAAUAAAGCCGCUUAUUUAUUUUUGAUGGUUUUUAUUAUGUAUUACUAAGAUAGGUAAUACUUAUUUUAACUGUUGAAAUUAGAUAGCUUUAGGGCGCGUUUUCAAAAACAA